GCCCAGCAUCUCCUCCUAGCAUGAUCACGACAAGUCCUCUCCAAAUCCUGAAGGAAACUGCGUGCCCAAUAACCAACAUCAUGACUACUAACAUAUUUGUAAUGCUUGUCAUGUCGAAGUUGUUUUUCUGGCUCAGCCAUCUCCAGGGCACAGUCCAUUGCAUCAGCCACUGCAUCAAUAUUCCAGGGGUUCACUCGAAUUGCUCCACUCAAAGAUGGGGAACAACCAAUAAACUCAGAAAUAACCAGCAUACUCUUCUUCAGAGUACAUGGUUCAAGCCUCAACACCUUAUCCAAAAGCUCAUUCCCUUGGCGACUGAUAAUGUAUUCAUAAGGUAUGAGAUUCAUUCCAUCCCUUACAGCAGUGACCAAACAGCACUCAGCAACAACAUAAUAUGCCACUUUUUCAUAAAACUUCAGUGGUGCAUCAAUUAAGACUACAGGAUCAUAUCCAGGCCUCCCAAAUGUUUCAUUGAUCCGCUUCACAGUGGAGUAAGUCUCAGCCUGGACUUCUUUCACAUCUUUUCCUCUGCCCCUUGCAGGAUUUGCUAUCUGCACCAACACCACCUUGCCUCGCCACUCUGGGUGCUGCUCGAGCAACUGUUCCAUUGCCAACAACUUCAAACUUAUACCUUUGAAUAUGUCCAUGUCAUCAACCCCUAGCAACAUUAUCCGGCCCUGAUCACCGAACUGCUUAAUGAGCUCCGCUACCUUUGUUUCAGUCUCUGGAAGCCUCAACACUGACUGAAGCUGACCCAUAUGAAUACCAACAGGAAGAAUUUUGAUGCCUACAGUCCUACCACAAUAGUCAAGGCCUAUGUACCCUCUCCUGGAUUCAUAGGUAAGACCAAGCAUUCUACUACAGCAAGACAAGAAAUGCCUUGCAUAAUCAAAAGUAUGAAAUCCAAG
rnacentral:misc_RNA from 1 species